rnacentral:lncRNA from 1 species
UUUUAUUGAAAGGAACUCAUAGUACAAGGACAACACAGUAACACUACAGCACAUCAUCAUCAACAUCAUCAUUGUUUCAAAAACNNNNNNNNNNUCACGCCUCUUCCUCUCUUGAUUUCGCAAUUGAACGGUAUCGCGUUUCUGUUUCGCCGCAGUUUUGCCGUUUCGCCGCUGUUUUAAGGUUUUCCGCUGCAAAUAUAUAUGGAUUUCGAUUUCAGUUUGAUUCAUGUGUUUGGUUUCGAGCGAUUCCUGACCUAUGUUCGAUUUCCAUUUCAUUUAAUUUCUUUGUUCUUCAAAUCUGAGUUUCUACAAGAUCUAUGUUCUUUGUAGAUCUAUUUUUCUAAUGCUGUGUUUUUUAGAAUGGUUUUAUGGCAAUGGAUUUGAUGAAUUUUGUUGGAUUUGAUGAAUUUUGUUGUUGUUGUUUUUUGCUUUUUUUAAUGUUGUGAAUUUUGGGAAUG